UUGGGCGGAGCUCCACGGGCGCGUGCGCUGUGGCGGCGGUUGGGACAGAGGUCGGCGGCAGAGGGGGUGGAGGCGUGGAGCUGGGCGGGCGCGUGGAGGCAGCGGCCGGGAGUCCGGGACCGAGCUCGGCGGGCGCGCGGAGAUGGCGGCCUGGGUGGAGGUCAACGGGCGGGUGCGCAGAGCUGGAGGCCAGGGUGGGGCUCGAUGGCGCGCGACUAGCAGGGCACCGAUUCGAG
rnacentral:lncRNA from 1 species